AUGAAUAGAACCCAAUCCAUGUUAGCUGCAACUCAUGUAGACCCAAGCAAUUAAUGCAGAAAAAUAUCUCACUUGCUCUUUUAGAAUAGUUAGUAUUUCCCUCCCUAACUUUAACCUAAUGUAAUCAUCAAAAUGGCACCAUUAUAUCAUGCCUUUUUUGCAUCUCUAGUAACCAUAGGAGGGAAAUGGUUUGCAAAAGAAAUCGAAGGGGUUGCGAGAAUGAGGGACUCACACAAAGGGAUAGAGAGAAAGAGAAUGAGGGCAGGCUAGGGAAUGGGGAGUGUUGCUUGCAUACAAGAGAGAAUGUAAUUUUAAUCUAGUGCUUGUGGACUCAACCAAGAUGAUAGUACAUCUAAUUAAAUACGACACAGAAA
rnacentral:misc_RNA from 1 species